rnacentral:rRNA from 1 species
ACAUCCAGAGAACUUAGCAGAGAUGCUUUGGUGCCUUCGGGAACUCUGAGACAGGUGCUGCAUGGCUGUCGUCAGCUCGUGUUGUGAAAUGUUGGGGUUAAGUCCCGCAACGAGCGCAACCCUUAUCCUUUGUUGCCAGCGGUUCGGCCGGGAACUCAAAGGAGACUGCCGGUGAUAAACCGGAGGAAGGUGGGGAUGACGUCAAGUCAUCAUGGCCCUUACGGCCAGGGCUACACACGUGCUACAAUGGCGCAUACAAAGAGAAGCGACCUCGCGAGAGCAAGCGGACCUCAUAAAGUGCGUCGUAGUCCGGAUUGGAGUCUGCAACUCGACUCCAUGAAGUCGGAAUCGCUAGUAAUCGUAGAUCAGAAUGCUACGGUGAAUACGUUCCCGGGCCUUGUACACACCGCCCGUCACACCAUGGGAGUGGGUUGCAAAAGAAGUAGGUAGCUUAACCUUCGGGAGGGCGCUUACCACUUUGUGAUUCAUGACUGGGGUGAAGUCGUAACAAGGUAGGCGUAGCGAG